GUGUGUUCCAGGUAAAUCCGGUUCACUUUAACACUGAGGCGUGACGACGAGGCACUACGGUGCUGAAGCAACAAAUGCCCUGCUUCCAGGAAAAGCCUCUAAGCAUCAGGUAACAUCAAAUCGUACCCCAAACCGACACAGGUGGUCAGGUAGAGAAUACCAAGGCGCUUGAGAGAACUCGGGUGAAGGAACUAGGCAAAAUGGUGCCGUAACUUCGGGAGAAGGCACGCUGACACGUAGGUGAAGUGAUUUACUCAUGGAGCUGAAGUCAGUCGAAGAUACCAGCUGGCUGCAACUGUUUAUUAAAAACACAGCACUGUGCAAACACGAAAGUGGACGUAUACGGUGUGACGCCUGCCCGGUGCCGGAAGGUUAAUUGAUGGGGUCAGCGCAAGCGAAGCUCCUGAUCGAAGCCCCGGUAAACGGCGGCCGUAACUAUAACGGUCCUAAGGUAGCGAAAUUCCUUGUCGGGUAAGUUCCGACCUGCACGAAUGGCGUAAUGAUGGCCAGGCUGUCUCCACCCGAGACUCAGUGAAAUUGAACUCGCUGUGAAGAUGCAGUGUACCCGCGGCAAGACGGAAAGACCCCGUGAACCUUUACUAUAGCUUGACACUGAACAUUGAGCCUUGAUGUGUAGGAUAGGUGGGAGGCUUUGAAGCGUGGACGCCAGUCUGCGUGGAGCCGACCUUGAAAUACCACCCUUUAAUGUUUGAUGUUCUAACGUGGACCCGUGAUCCGGGUUGCGGACAGUGUCUGGUGGGUAGUUUGACUGGGGCGGUCUCCUCCUAAAGAGUAACGGAGGAGCACGAAGGUUGGCUAAUCCUGGUCGGACAUCAGGAGGUUAGUGCAAUGGCAUAAGCCAGCUUGACUGCGAGCGUGACGGCGCGAGCAGGUGCGAAAGCAGGUCAUAGUGAUCCGGUGGUUCUGAAUGGAAGGGCCAUCGCUCAACGGAUAAAAGGUACUCCGGGGAUAACAGGCUGAUACCGCCCAAGAGUUCAUAUCGACGGCGGUGUUUGGCACCUCGAUGUCGGCUCAUCACAUCCUGGGGCUGAAGUAGGUCCCAAGGGUAUGGCUGUUCGCCAUUUAAAGUGGUACGCGAGCUGGGUUUAGAACGUCGUGAGACAGUUCGGUCCCUAUCUGCCGUGGGCGCUGGAGAACUGAGGGGGGCUGCUCCUAGUACGAGAGGACCGGAGUGGACGCAUCACUGGUGUUCGGGUUGUCAUGCCAAUGGCACUGCCCGGUAGCUACAUGCGGAAGAGAUAAGUGCUGAAAGCAUCUAAGCACGAAACUUGCCCCGAGAUGAGUUCUCCCUGAGACUUUAGGUCUCCUGAAGGAACGUUGAAGACGACGACGUUGAUAGGCCGGGUGUGUAAGCGCAGCGAUGCGUUGAGCUAACCGGUACUAAUGAACCGUGAGGCUUAACCUUACAACGCCGAAG
rnacentral:rRNA from 1 species